rnacentral:rRNA from 1 species
UACGUAGGUGGCAAGCGUUGUCCGGAUUUACUGGGCGUAAAGAGCGCGCAGGCGGUUGAUUAAGUCGAAUGUGAAAGCCCCCGGCUCAACUGGGGAGGGUCAUUCGAUACUGAUCAACUUGAAGGCAGGAGAGGGAAGUGGAAUUCCGGGUGUAGUGGUGUAAUGCGUAGAUAUCCGGAGGAACACCAGUGGCGAAGGCGACUUCCUGGCCUGUUCUUGACGCUGAGGCGCGAAAGCUGGGGGAGCAAACGGG